ensembl:lncRNA
GCGAAAUGAUCCAGGAUUUUCGAAUUACAAUAUCAUCAUUUUUCAUUUCUCUGUUAGCUUCACAGCAGCGCUACAGCUGGAUCUCCCGCUGUAUUUUAAGACUGAAGAGCGCCACAACGAUGACCACUUCCUGCUAGGCCUGGGGAGUGAUUAGAGAACCGAGAGUGGGAAGAGGAAGUGGUGUUGUUAAUGGGUGUCACGAUGCCUCGUCUCUCACAAGGGCUGAGCUUGUCAGCCGGGUUCUAGUGCUCUGCGUGAUCGUCCCGUCGCCGAGGUGAGUCGAACCCCUUCCAUCCUCCAGUUGUACUGUCUGAUCCGUUAACUCUGAGACCGCUUGAGAGUUGAAUCAGUGAACCAGAGAGAGAACCAGAGCAGACUGUAGUUCGUAUCUCUCUCCGGUCAGACGUAGGGUAGAGGAGAAGGUGUUCUCCUGGGAUGACUUGUGUUGUGUUGUGAUGAGAAGGUGUUUCGGAUAAAGGUUUGUCCGUCUGUAGCGGCGGCCUUGACGUAAACGGUGAAGCUCAGGGCCAUCACUGUAUUAGGCUCUGGUUUAUACGCUACAAAACAAUCGUGGUGAGAGAAUGAUGGAUACGCAUGUUUUUAAUGUUGAAAAUGUUUUCUACAUCCUUAGCAUCCUCUAUGAGUAAACCUGGCUUAACAUGUAUAUUUAAUCACAAACAUGUAUGAUACUCAGAAACACUGAGUAUUCGGAACAAGACCCACAAAUCAAGUUCUAGUGAUGUGUGGUUGACUUUGAUGUUCAGGGCUGUCGUGGGUCGUAUCCUCAUUCUCGUAACGUAUAUAUGUUCUUGUCAUAUUUGUGUUUGUCCUGCGAUCAGGUCUCAUAAGUAAAGUCCGGUGGACAACCUCAAUGACACCUACCAGAAUAACUAAUAGUGGGUGGGAGAAGUGAUGUUCCCCGAAAUGUCGAACGUAGAUGUUAUCUAAGAGGAGACGUAUUGUUGGUUCCGUCCUAGAGAGGGCGCUAAGUCGGCACCAUGAAGAGCUCCUCGACCCUCCUCCUCCUCACCCUGCUCUCUCUGUUGGCGGGCGUCCCCGCCGCUGACCCAUCCAGUGAGAGCCCGGACCCCUCCCCCUCGAACUCCUCCACCCUUGGCGGCUCCGUCCUGAACACCUCCGCCCCGGACCCCUCCCCCUCAGACCUGACGACCCAGGGAGACCCUUCCGCCUCGAACCAAACCUCAGACGGCCCCGGCUCCUCCCCGACACCGGAGUACAACGCCACCGACGGCCCGACCCGGCCCCCCAGCUCGGUGCUCCCCGCUCAUACCUCCACCACCGCCAAGCCCACCACCGCCACCACGGAGCGCUGCAUGUUCCCCCGGACGCAGGGGCGCGUGGUGCUGAUGGUGGCGGGCGCGCUGACGGUGGCGUGCGUGGGCCUGCUGGUCACCACCGCCCUGCUGACCUGGAAGCUCUGCCAGCGGCGGCGGGAGGCGGAGCCAGACAGCGACCUCAUCAGCAACUCUGAGUUCUGGAUGGGCAGCGCGCGGCGCAACAAGGCCAAGCCACCCCCCGCCAACGACACCUGCCUGCUGCUCGGACACCUGGAGACGAAGGGGGGGCAGCGGGGGGCCGAGGGGGGCGACGGAGGGGAGGCAGGCGAGGAGCAGGAGGGGAAGGGGGGAGAGGGGGAGGUGGACGCGGAGGCGAACGGGAUGGCCGGCGUCCUGGCCCC